CAUAAAAUAGCUUAAC
rnacentral:tRNA from 1 species